ACUCCUACGGGAGGCAGCAGUGGGGAAUAUUGGACAAUGGGGAACCCGUAGCAUCCAGCCAUGCCGCGCUGUGUGAAGAAGGCCUUCGGGUUGUAAAGCACUUUCAGUGGGGAGGAAAGGUUGAUGGUUAAUACCCAUCAGCUGUGACGUUACCCACAGAAGAAGCACCGGCUAACUCCGUGCCAGCAGCCGCGGUAAUACGGAGGGUGCAAGCGUUAAUCGGAAUUACUGGGCGUAAAGCGUGCGCAGGCGGUCUGUUAAGCGAGAUGUGAAAGCCCCGGGCUCAACCUGGGAACUGCAUUUCGAACUGGCAGACUAGAGUCUUGUAGAGGGGGUAGAAUUCCAGGUGUAGCGGUGAAAUGCGUAGAGAUCUGGAGGAAUACCGGUGGCGAAGGCGGCCCCCUGGACAAAGACUGACGCUCAGGCACGAAAGCGUGGGGAGCAAAACAGGAUUAGAUACCCUGGUAGCGAGUA
rnacentral:rRNA from 1 species